CUAUCUGGGCUCACUCGAGGUUAUGCUGCAGCCACGGAAAUAGAUGGUUUCCAUUAAAAAUAAUUAGGCAGGGCAGAGGCGGAGCAGGUCCAUGUUAGCAAAGGGUUGCUUGUCUGUGUGCCUGAGGCACCUCAUCUCCGGAGGCCAGGCUCUUGCAUAUACAAGGCAGAUCCCAGGUUAAAGUUGCUGGGUCUGCUUGCUGGCUUUAUUUGCUGAUACUGAGCAGGGUAAGUAUCUUCAAGAUUUACGGAUCUAAGACUACUACUGGCGUGGAACUUCUGCUGAGAUAGAUUACUGCUACCCACUAUCACUGGAUUUAGAGGGCUAACACACCAUCCUGCUCACCGAGGAGACGAAACUGCUGUGCAUGUGGCUGUCAUCUAAGUGGUGAAGUGACUACAGCAUCGGUACGGCAGCGGCCAAGGCUUGCCCACAGUGGUGAAAGAUGUCUCACCCUCCUGCCUGCAUGGGGGCGGCUGUGCUCACUGCCGCAUGCCCACUAUGCUGUGCCGCAGUGGACAAAGGCACCUGCCCCAAACAGGAUGUGCAUCCCUGUCCGGAGCAGACUUCUGAGGUGGAUCCCUGCCAAUGCCAGGGUGCAGCCCCAUGCCUGGAUGUGUGCCUUCAGCUGAGUCCUGCCUGUGCACCUCCAGCUGUCCCUGUGCCUGGGGACGCCUGCUGCCCUGAGCUGACACCUGCCUGCAACUCUUGCACAUCUCCGUGUGUCACCACCUGCGUGUGUCCAGCGGUUGUCCCCUGUGACCUCCAACAAAGCCAGGGAGGGACCAGCUUCCCAGUGAAGCCCACAACCUUGCCAAUAGAACCCUGCAGUCCUGAGAUCGUGGGGACAUGUGGGGAAACUUUCCCUCACCAGCACCCCGUGUCACCGAUGGAACCCUGCACCAUCGAAGUGCUUGAGACCUGCAUGGAGACCUUGCCCAGCAGCUGCACGGCCUUGCCGGUGGAGCCCUGCGGUGCUCAGGCUGUGAUCAGCGGUGAUCCUUGCCCCGAUCAGUGCCUGGUUACACACGUGGAUACCUGUACGCCUCUAAGUGUGGUUUGUGCAGAGCCAUGUGUGCCCCAGAGCACUGCGGGACCCUGCGCACCCCAGAGCACCGGGGAGCCUGCAGCCACCGACUCCACCAAGGGCACAGGCAAAGGUGAUGGUGCCUGCCCGUCCCCACGAGCAUCUUUCUGCCUCAACACCCGCACUGCAGCCAUCGUGGAGCGGUGUCUGUCCCGGUGUCAGAACUGGCUGCGAGGCAAGAACUGAGCGGCAGCAGCAGGCACACAAGAUAAGAAAGGAUCCACUGCAUCAAUGAGACCUCUGCUGGUGAGUCUCUCAGUUUCUUGUGUAUCAACAGGAGAGAAAAUUGCUUCACGUUAAAUAAAAAAUACUUUUCAAUCAUCUGA